GGGUAUAGCUCUGUGGUAGAGCAUGUGCUUAGCAUGCAUGAGGUCUUGGGUUCAAUCCUCCAUACGUCCU
rnacentral:tRNA from 1 species